rnacentral:tRNA from 1 species
GGGAAUGUGGCUCAAUGGUAGAGUGCUUGCUUAGCAUGCAUGAAGCCCUGGGUUCGAUUCCUCAGUACCA